GUGUAACUCCAUCUGUGGAGAUACUCAAAAUCCAGUUGGGCACAGUUUUGGGCAGUCAGCUGUAGCUGGCCCUGCUUCAGCCCGGGGGAUUAGACUAGAUGACCUCAAGAAAUCUCUUCCCACCUCAACCAUUCUCUGAUUUUGUGUGUUGCAGAAAGGUUCUUCUCUGAGGUUCUUCAGAGAAUUCUUUCUUUUGGUGCUUUGAUAUUUGUAUGUUCCACUGUGUUCAGUUCUGCUAUUCUGCGAGAUAAUUAAAUCAUUAUGGUCUUACUCUUACAAGGUCUCUGCAGUUAUACUUCUGAGAGCAUCAUGAGUUCCAGUGAUGCCCAGUUGCUGGGCACUUCUAAUUGCGGGACGGUAGCUGAACUGAUGCCAAAAAGUAAACACUUGCUGAUUUUUUUAAACCAUCAGGCAUAUGAAACCAGAGCUGCUGUGAUGUGCAGCUGCUUUUUGUUGUGUCUGUGCUCCCCCAAAGCACAGCUGUUGGAUGACACUUUAUUGAACAGUAAAAUCAUAUCUCACAAAAUUAGAACCAGGAUGGCUCUGGGUACAGAGCAUUUAGCGUUGACUUCAGAAGUACCCCCCUAGCACGAUUUUGCUCUGAAUUCAUCAACAAACCAUUGUUGUUAAUCAGUUGAGCUUUAAGGUAGAAGGCCAAAGAAAACUUCCUAUGAAAUAAAAAUUGAUUAGUAAUGAUUUUGUGGAUAUAUCUUGAGGAUAUGCCAUAGUAACUCAGUCCUUUGAAGCUUGUAAGUGUUUUCUGGAUGGCCACUGAGCACCAGAUGGAUUUAGCUGCUAUUGUUGGAAUAAUUGGACCUGGCUUUUUUUUGACAGGCACCAUUUAACAACCUGAGUGAUAGCCUUGUGCCUUUAUUUCACCAGUGAAAUCUAUGCUUAUGCUACCUUAAGAGACCACUGUAAGCUUUUGGGAUACUUUUAAAUCUUUAUUGAUUUUCACUUGUCUUACUUUUUAUUAAUCUUUUAGAUCAGAUUUGUAGAAGUGUUAAAGCAAAUGUACCAACCAUGGCAAAUACAUGGAAGAAGAGCUCCCUGGUGAUAUUGAGGACUCCAGUGUAUGCUUCUUGGCUCAAUCAAACAGUAUCAAACUUGAUAUCAUCAUUGCUCUUCCUGCAACAUAAUAUUCUUUUUUCUCUAAUCAUCUCCUAGUAUUCUGUUCGGUUUUGGUAUGGGCAAGAAGAGUAACUUUGCAAUGCAUGUAAAACAUAGAAUUUGUAUCUUCUCUUUUCAAUGGAUAAAAGGAAAACA